rnacentral:rRNA from 1 species
CCUACGGGAUGCAGCAGUGGGGAAUAUUGCACAAUGGGGGAAACCCUGAUGCAGCGACGCCGCGUGAGUGAAGAAGUAUUUCGGUAUGUAAAGCUCUAUCAGCAGGGAAGAAGAAAGACGGUACCUGACUAAGAAGCCCCUGCUAACUACGUGCCAGCAGCCGCGGUAAUACGUAGGGGGCAAGCGUUAUCCGGAUUUACUGGGUGGAAAGGGAGCGUAGACGGCUGUGCAAGUCUGAAGUGAAAGCCCAGGGCUCAACCCUGGGACUGCUUUGGAAACUGUGGAGCUAGAGUGCUGGAGAGGUAAGUGGAAUUCCUAGGGUAGCGGUGAAAUGCGUAGAUAUUAGGAGGAACACCAGUGGCGAAGGCGGCUUACUGGACAGUAACUGACGUUGAGGCUCGAAAGCGUGGGGAGCAAACAGGAUUAGAUACCCCUGUAGUC